UGGGGAAUAUUGGGCAAUGGAGGGAACUCUGACCCAGCAACGCCGCGUGAGUGAAGAAGGUUUUCGGAUUGUAAAACUCUUUAAGCGGGGACGAAGAAAGUGACUGUACCCGCAGAAUAAGCAUCGGCUAACUACGUGCCAGCAGCCGCGGUAAUACGUAGGAUGCGAGCGUUAUCCGGAAUGACUGGGCGUAAAGGGUGCGUAGGUGGUCUGUCAAGUUGGCAGCGUAAUUCCGGGGCUCAACCGUGGAACUACUGCCAAAACUGGCAAGCUUGAGUGCGGUAGGGGUAUGUGGAAUUCCUAGUGUAGCGGUGGAAUGCGUAGAUAUUAGGAGGAACACCGGAGGCGAAAGCGACAUACUGGGCCGUAACUGACACUGAAGCACGAAAGCGUGGGGAGCAAACAGG
rnacentral:rRNA from 1 species